UAACCAAAAUUCUUGACAGAAACCCAGUAGAACUUGUACGACAAAGACUUAAAUGUAAAAAAGACAUUAACCAGACAGAAAUUAUACAUAUCAAAGAACUAAAGAAACCUCCCGUUGCAGGUUCACCCUCUGGACAACAAACGUCGACGCAAGACGAGACACAUCCAAAUUCCAUAACUUAAACGACAAUCCCGGACUUUUACCCCUUCAUUUAGGCACAGCCCGAAUUCAGACAGAUGUUUGGACUUUUAUACAUAUUUAUGACAUUACAAAUAUUACUACAAA
rnacentral:lncRNA from 1 species